rnacentral:rRNA from 1 species
UACGUAGGGGCAAGCGUUGUCCGGAAUCAUUGGGCGUAAAGAGCGUGUAGGCGGCUCGGUAAGUCCGCUGUGAAAGUCCAGGGCUCAACCCUGGAAUGCCGGUGGAAACUGUCGAGCUAGAGUCCGGAAGAGGCGAGUGGAAUUCCUGGUGUAGCGGUGAAAUGCGCAGAUAUCAGGAGGAACACCAAUGGCGAAGGCAGCUCGCUGGGACGGUACUGACGCUGAGACGCGAAAGCGUGGGAGCAAACAGG